ACCACAAUAUACAGCUACUACUCAGCAAAUGGAACAGAGGGGGAGAGAUCAGCAAACAAUAAACCAGAAAUCCCAGCAAAUUGGAUACAGGCUGUGGAAGAACUCAAAACACAACUAAGAGAGGCUGAAGACAAUUGGGAAAAGAACUUAAAAAUUAAGAUGUCAUCUGGAAACAGAGGCACUUGAACUAAAAUAAGAAAAUAGUGUCUUGAAAGCCAAAAUCAACCAGCUGGAAAAUGAGGCAAAGGAGGUGAAAGAUGAGGCAAAGGAAAUGAAAGAUGAGGUAAAGAGGAUGAAAGACGAUCUACAAAGAAAAUCAGACCAGAAGGAUAAAGACGACCGAAAAGCCAGAGAUGAAAUCCAAUCUUUAAGAACCAGAAUACAACAACUAGAAUCAAGUGACCUCACAAGGCAGCAGGACACUAUGAAACAAAACAAAAAGAAUGAAAAAUUGAGGAAAAUGUGAAGCAUCUCAUUCACAAAACAGAUGAUCUAGAAAAUUGUUCAAGAAGAAACAAUUUAAGAAUAAUUGGACUACCAGAAGACCACAACAAAAGAAAAAGCCUGGACAUAAUACUAGAAGAAAUUAUCCAGGAAAACUGUCCCGAGAUCCUAGAAUAAGAGGGGAAAGUGGAGAUUGAAAGAAUCAACAGAUCACCCCCUGUAUUUAAUCCCCAACUGACAACACCAAGAAAUGUUAUAGCCAAAUUCAAAAACAAUCAGAUGAAAGAAAAGAUAUUACAAGCUGCCAAGAAGAAGCCAUUCAGAUACCAUGGAAACAUGGUGAAGUUAACACAGGAUCUAGCUGCAUCCACACUGAAGGACCGAAAGGUAUGGAAUACAAUAUUCCAGAAAGCAAGGGAACUAGGUCUACAACCAAGAAUAAAAUACCCAUCAAAACUGACUAUAUUCUUACAGGGGAAAGUAUGGUCAUUCAAAACAACAGAAGAGUUCCAAGCAUUCAUAAAGAAAAGACCAGACCUGAACAGAAAAUUUGAUGUCCAAGAACAGAACUCAAGAGAAUCAUCAAAAGAACAAGUACCAUUCUGAAUAAUUAUCCUCAAAAGCAGAUCAGAACAAAUCUUGUCAAGGAAGCCAUAGACUACAAAAGUUUUUUUUUUU
rnacentral:lncRNA from 1 species